UCUUCGUACUUAGGAAUCCACUCAUCGCCUUAAAGGCGCCUAAGCUAUUUUUGCGCUUUCGUAGCUUAGGACAUCUGGUCACAUGGUUUGCAGAAAAAGGGGUUACAUAUUGCACAACGUCAAAUCCCAUGGAAAGAACUAUUGUAUGGACUACGGUAGUUCCUGAAGAAUCUUAUGUGAUUUCUGGAGAUGCCGUGGAGACAAGCACAAGAGAACUAGGAAGCAAAUGAGGAAAAACAAUAUCGACAAAAGAAGAAAAAAGAAAUGAAGAAAAAAAGAAUAUCCCCGAAAAAAAAGAAAAAGAAACA